rnacentral:piRNA from 1 species
UACAUUUCUGGUGACAAUGUUAGAGAACGC